rnacentral:rRNA from 1 species
GCUUGAUGCCAUAUCACCAGGGGCUAUGGUCUCAACAGAUUCUAUUUGCUAACCAGUAUUGGGCAUGGGCAGUAUUUGGUUGGGAGACCUCCAGGGAAAACCCAGGUGCUUCAGGAA